rnacentral:rRNA from 1 species
AGUUGUAGCAAUACGAUUAUGAGAGUAGCGCACGGGUGCGUAACACGUAUGCAACCUACCUAUAACUGGGGGAUAGCCUCCCGAAAGGGAGAUUAAUACCGCAUAACACUAUGAAGUGGCAUCACUUUAUAUUUAAAUCUACGGAGGUUAUAGAUGGGCAUGCGUCCGAUUAGCUAGUUGGUGAGGUAACGGCUCACCAAGGCUCCGAUCGGUAGGGGGUCUGAGAGGAUGAUCCCCCACACUGGUACUGAGACACGGACCAGACUCCUACGGGAGGCAGCAGUAAGGAAUAUUGGACAAUGGGCGCAAGCCUGAUCCAGCCAUGCCGCGUGAAGGAUGAAGGCCCUAUGGGUCGUAAACUUCUUUUAUACGGGACAAAACCCCUCCUCGUGAGGAGGGUUGAUGGUACUGUAAGAAUAAGGGUCGGCUAACUUCGUGCCAGCAGCCGCGGUAAUACGAAGGACACGAGCGUUAUCCGGAUUUAUUGGGUUUAAAGGGUGCGUAGGCGGAUUAGUAAGUCAGUGGUGAAAGCCCGUCGCUUAACGGCGGAACUGCCAUUGAUACUGCUAGUCUUGAGUAUGGUUGAGGUGGGCGGAAUGUGUCAUGUAGCGGUGAAAUGCUUAGAUAUGACACAGAACACCAAUUGCGAAGGCAGCUCGCUAAGCCAUAACUGACGCUGAGGCACGAAAGCGUGGGGAGCAAACAGGAUUAGAUACCCUGGUAGUCCACGCCCUAAACGAUGAUAACUCGUUGUUGGCGAUACACAGUCAGCGACUAAGCGAAAGCAUUAAGUUAUCCACCUGG